GGGCCUUUAGCUCAGGUGGUCAGAGCGCACGGCUGAUAACCGUGAGGUCUGUGGUUCGAGUCCACAAAGGCCCACCA
rnacentral:tRNA from 1 species